rnacentral:misc_RNA from 1 species
AAGGAUCAUUACCGAGUCGGGCCCUUCGGGGUCCUCACUCUCCACCCUUUGUGAACGCACCUUUGUUGCCUCGGCGGGUCGCCCGCUCCGGCGGGCCCCGCCAGAGGACCAUUCAAACUCUGUUGUAACCGGACGUCUGAGUAAAAAUUUAAUCAAUUAAAACUUUCAACAACGGAUCUCUUGGUUCUG